GUUCUUGUAGCUCAGUUGGUAGAGCGCGGAGCUGUUAAUUAAUAGCAGCAUGUGCGGCUAAUAACACACUCCGAGGUCUCUGGUUCAAGCCCAGGCGGGAACG